rnacentral:rRNA from 1 species
GGCCAACAAUUAAUUGCUAUUGAUUACGCUACAUUAUCCUCACUGACCGUGAUAAUGUAGCGUAAUCAAUAGCCAAUUAAUCUGUUGGCCGGUAUGAAUGGCAUCACGAAGGCCCCACUGUCUUAAGAGGACUCUCCAUGAAAUUGAAUUCGUAGUGAAGAUGCUACGUCCAUAUUGUAAGACGAAAAGACCCCAUUGAGCUUUACUAAAGACUUGUAUGGCUCGAAAUAACUUAAAUAAAAAGUUUAGAUAAUGUGGGAUCCGUUUUUGGUUAAUGAAACACCACUCUUUUAUUUUAAGAGAGCUAACCUUGCAGGGAGAAUGCAAGUUGGAUAGUUUGGUUGGGGCGACCACCUUUUAAAAGGUAACGAAGGUGAGCUUAAGGUCCGUAGUUAAUAGCUAGUGGCCUGACUGCAAGGGGGACAUCCCGAGCAGACACUGGAAAUCUCUCAGUGGGUUAUAGUGACCCGUCAUCUUAGAGUGGAAUAGUUGACGAUCAACGAAUAAAAGCUACCAUGGGGGGGAUU